CAUUACGAAGCUUAGAGCGUUAACCUUUUAAGUUAAAGUUAGAGAUAUCAGGUCUCCGUAAUGA
rnacentral:tRNA from 1 species